rnacentral:sRNA from 1 species
GCGACGAGGCCAAUAUGGCUUCCUGCACCUGGUGACGCUUGGCGAAACUGAGGUCUCAUGGAGAAGCCCCCGAGUAUUGAGACGGAGUCUCGCUCUGUCGCCCAGGCUGGAGUGCAGUGGCACGAUCUAGGCUCACUGCAACCUCCGUCUCCCGGGUUCAAGCAAUUCUGUCUCCACCUCCCAUGUUCCUGGGAUUACAGGAGACCCCAUCUUCAGAACCAAUGGAAGAAGAGGAAGAUGAUGACUUGGAGCUGUUUGGUGGCUAUGAUAGUUUCCGGAGUUAUAACAGCAGUGUGGGCAGUGAGAGCAGCUCCUAUCUGGAGGAGUCAAGUGAAGCAGAAAAUGAGGAUCGGGAAGCAGGGGAACUGCCGACCUCCCCGCUGCAUUUGCUCAGCCCCGGGACUCCUCGCUCCUUGGAUGGCAGUGGUUCUGAGCCAGCUGUCUGUGAGAUGUGUGGUAUCGUGGGUACAAGGGAAGCCUUCUUCUCCAAGACCAAGAGGUUCUGCAGCGUCUCCUGCUCCAGGAGCUACUCCUCCAAUUCCAAGAAAGCCAGUAUCUUGGCUAGAUUACAGGGAAAACCACCGACCAAAAAAGCCAAAGUCCUGCACAAAGCUGCCUGGUCUGCCAAAAUUGGAGCCUUCCUCCACUCCCAAGGGACAGGACAGCUGGCAGAUGGGACACCAACAGGACAAGACGCUCUGGUCUUGGGCUUCGACUGGGGGAAGUUCCUGAAGGAUCACAGUUACA